GAAUUCUUCAGCAGGUCCAGCCCUAAAUGAUCUGGGAAGCUUUUUCACUAUACUGAAGCUCAGACCUCACCACCAGAGUUUCUGAUUUAACUGGUCUAGGGUGGGCCUAAGGCAUUGGCAAAUGUUAAAUGAUCCUUAGGUGACUCUCAUUUCCAGCCAGAGUUAAUGCCCACUGAUACAGCCUCAGUGAUCACAGAUGUUCAUCAGAAUUGCAUGAUACUUGAUGCCAAGGAGAAGGGAAGUUUCCCUUUGGUACGCAAAAGGAAUAAUGUCUACUGCUUUCAAUCACAUAAAGAUGACUUAAAAAAAAACAAAACUUGAUUUGCAAUACCUGUCCCUUCUUGAAAUAUAAUUUUUGAGAAGUUCAACUAGUAGGUUGCCUUUUGUCUAUUUAAUUUUAGACAACAUCCUCAAAUGUAAUGUUUAAAUGGUUUGUCUCCCAGAAAAACCUGCUGCCCUCAUUGCAAACUCUGGACUUCAG
rnacentral:lncRNA from 1 species